rnacentral:rRNA from 1 species
CACUUGGGGAUAACCUUGCGAAAGUAAGACUAAUACCCAAUGACGUCUCUAGAAGACAUCUGAAAGAGAUUAAAGAUUUAUCGGUGAUGGAUGGGGAUGCGUCUGAUUAGCUUGUUGGCGGGGUAACGGCCCACCAAGGCAACGAUCAGUAGGGGUUCUGAGAGGAAGGUCCCCCACAUUGGAACUGAGACACGGUCCAAACUCCUACGGGAGGCAGCAGUGAGGAAUAUUGGUCAAUGGGCGAGAGCCUGAACCAGCCAAGUAGCGUGCAGGAUGACGGCCCUAUGGGUUGUAAACUGCUUUUAUAAGGGAAUAAAGUGAGUCUCGUGAGACUUUUUGCAUGUACCUUAUGAAUAAGGACCGGCUAAUUCCGUGCCAGCAGCCGCGGUAAUACGGAAGGUCCGGGCGUUAUCCGGAUUUAUUGGGUUUAAAGGGAGCGUAGGCCGGAGAUUAAGCGUGUUGUGAAAUGUAGACGCUCAACGUCUGCACUGCAGCGCGAACUGGUUUCCUUGAGUACGCACAAAGUGGGCGGAAUUCGUGGUGUAGCGGUGAAAUGCUUAGAUAUCACGAAGAACUCCGAUUGCGAAGGCAGCUCACUGGAGCGCAACUGACGCUGAAGCUCGAAAGUGCGGGUAUCGAACAGGAUUAGAUACCCUGGUAGUCCGCACGGUAAACGAUGGAUGCCCGCUGUUGGUCUGAAUAGGUCAGCGGCCAAGCGAAAGCAUUAAGCAUCCCACCUGGGGAGUACGCCGGCAACGGUGAAACUCAAAGGAAUUGACGGGGGCCCGCACAAGCGGAGGAACAUGUGGUUUAAUUCGAUGAUACGCGAGGAACCUUACCCGGGCUUGAAUUGCAGAGGAAGGAUUUGGAGACAAUGACGCCCUUCGGGGCCUCUGUGAAGGUGCUGCAUGGUUGUCGUCAGCUCGUGCCGUGAGGUGUCGGCUUAAGUGCCAUAACGAGCGCAACCCCUCUCCUUAGUUGCCAUCAGGUCAUGCUGGGCACUCUGGGGACACUGCCACCGUAAGGUGUGAGGAAGGUGGGGAUGACGUCAAAUCAGCACGGCCCUUACGUCCGGGGCUACACACGUGUUACAAUGGCAGGUACAGAGAGACGGUCCCUUGCAAAAUGGAUCAAAUCCUUAAAGCCUGUCUCAGUUCGGACUGGGGUCUGCAACCCGACCCC